CGGCUGCAGCUAGAUCCAACGCCUCAGAAGUUGCCUAACUGGCCGGCCGCCGUUCAAAUCGCCGACGACACUUCUGCUCACCGAACUUCUCAUGUUC
rfam:Eucalyptus grandis cultivar BRASTZ1 unplaced genomic scaffold scaffold_4, whole genome shotgun sequence.